rnacentral:misc_RNA from 1 species
GAUGAAGAACGUAGCGAAAUGCGAUAAGUAAUGUGAAUUGCAGAAUUCAGUGAAUCAUCGAAUCUUUGAACGCACAUUGCGCCCGUUAGCAUUCUAGCGGGCAUGCCUGUCCGAGCGUCGUUUCAACCCUCAGGGUCCCCGUUCCGGCGGGGAACCUGGUGUUGGGGAUCGGCCCGCCCCGUGCGGCGCCGUCCCCCAAAUUCAGUGGCGGUCUCGCUGCAGCCUCCCCUGCGUAGUAGUUACAACCUCGCAUCGGAGCUCAGCGCGGCCACGCCGUAAAACCCCCGACUUUCUGAACGUUGACCUCGGAUCAGGUAGGAAUACCCGCUGAACUUAAGCAUAUCAAUAAGCGGAGGA